CUAUAGGCUAAAUAUAUCAAGUUUAAAUGUUCAAAUUUGAGCACGUUUGUAAGCUAGCUAUAGCUAGCUGAACCGAAAAAGCUAGGUGGAUUUAAUUAAUAACUUUACAAGUUACUUUCAAAUACAUUUAAUUUUUUUUAUUAUGGGAUAUGCCAAAUAGAGCUACAGAUCCAGCCUGACUAUGGCAAUUAGCUAAUUGUUUAUUUUAUUUCAGUGUGGAGUCAAUUGAGGGGCCUAGCCUAUAUUUCAUGAAGCCACUAGAACACUGUUGCUGACAGAGUCUGGCAGUAACCAAGAACAAUCAGAGGCAGAAGAUCCCUCUUUCAGCUGCUGCUGACAACUGCAUAUAAGUAGAUAGGCCAGUGGCAAAGGAGUUGUGGCUGGUUCGAAUCCUGGGUCUGGCGCUGAAGAAAAAAAAACAGGCAGAAUUGAUCUGACAACUGGAGGGCUGCUGGAUUCACAUCCUCAAAAGGUUCUCCUACUGUUUGGUCCUUGAGCAAGGUCCUUAACCACACAAGAUGUGCUAGUCUCAACUGUAUGUGUCUGCUUUUUGGGGGAGUUGAGAACAGAGCAGAAGACACAUUUUUGUUGUUCAUUGUAACUAAAUGGACAAAGUAUAUUCUAUUAUAAAGAAGUCAGCCAUUCAAACAAAGAGAUGCCUUCCACCAGUGCAUAUUUCC
rnacentral:lncRNA from 1 species